rnacentral:rRNA from 1 species
AGUACAGACUCUCAGUACGGUGAAACCGCGCAUGGCUCAUUACAUCGGUCAAUGUUUACUGGAUCGUACAAUCCUACUUGGAUAACUGUGGCAAUUCUAGAGCUAAUACAUGCAACGAAGCUCCGACCUUCGGGGAAGAGCGCUUUUAUUAGAUCAAGACCAAUCGGGGGGUUCCGCUUCCCGUACCAUUGGUGACUCUGGAUAACUUUGGGCUGAUCGCACGGCCUCGCGCCGGCGACGUAUCCAUCAAAUGUCCGCCCUAUCAACUUUCGACGGUACGUGAUAUGCCUACCGUGGUUUUUACGGGUAACGGGGAAUCAGGGUUCGAUUCCGGAGAGGGA